AGCAGCCGCGGUAAUUCCAGCUCCAAUAGCGUAUAUUAAAGUUGUUGCAGUUAAAAAGCUCGUAGUUGAAUUUCGGAAUCAAUGGAUCGGUCAUGCCACUCGGUGUGUACUGGUUUGAUUGGUUCUCACCUUCUAAGGAACCGUGAUGUCAUUAAUUUGGUGUCGCGGGGAAUUAGGACUGUUACCUUGAAAAAAUUAGAGUGUUUAAAGCAAGCUCACGCUUGAAUACAUUAGCAUGGAAUAAUGAAAUAGGACAUUGUAUUCUAUUUUGUUGGUUUCUAGGAUCGAUGUAAUGAUUAAUAGGGAUAGUUGGGGGCAUUAGUAUUCAAUUGUCAGAGGUGAAAUUCUUGGAUUUAUUGAAGACUAACUACUGCGAAAGCAUUUGCCAAGGAUGUUUUCAUUAAUCAAGAACGAAAGUUAGGGGAUCGAAGACGAUCAGAUACCGUCGUAGUCUUAACCAUAAACUAUGCCGACUAGGGAUCGGAUGAUGUUAAUUUUUA
rnacentral:rRNA from 1 species